rnacentral:rRNA from 1 species
CAGCCGCCGCGGUAAUACGUAGGUGGCAAGCGUUGUCCGGAAUUAUUGGGCGUAAAGGGCUCGUAGGCGGUUUCUUAAGUCUGAUGUGAAAGCCCCCGGCUCAACCGGGGAGGGUCAUUGGAAACUGGGAAACUCGAGUGCAGAAGAGGAGAGUGGAAUUCCACGUGUAGCGGUGAAAUGCGUAGAGAUGUGGAGGAACACCAGUGGCGAAGGCGACUCUCUGGUCUGUAACUGACGCUGAGGAGCGAAAGCGUGGGGAGCGAACAGGAUUAGAUACCCCCGUAGUCCAUGUCUCUUAUAC